GAUCCUGGCUCAGGAUGAACGCUAGCUACAGGCUUAACACAUGCAAGUCGAGGGGCAGCAUUUUAGUUUGCUUGCAAACUGAAGAUGGCGACCGGCGCGCGGGUGAGUAACACGUAUCCAACCUGCCGAUAACUCUGGAAUAGCCUUUCGAGAGAAAGAUUAAUACCGGAUGGCAUACGAAUAUCGCAUGAUAUUUUUAUUAAAGAAUUUCGGUUAUCGAUGGGGAUGCGUUCCAUUAG
rnacentral:rRNA from 1 species